rnacentral:rRNA from 1 species
GUCUAUGGCCAUACCACGCUGAAUGUGCCCAAUCUUGGAAACCUAGCAGAAUUGGGCUUGGCUAGUACUUGAAUAAGAGAAACUCUAACAAAAUCAACCAGUGAUAACUG